GGGAGAGUGAAAGCAGUGGGAAUGGGGCGGUUUGGGAACAUUUUUAAUGGCAGAGGCAGCUCCUAACUCAACACGUGUGCCCCUGGGCAAGGGGCAACUCAGGCUGGUGUUCACAUCUGGGAAUCCAGGAGAUUUUAUUUCCAGUGGGAAAGGGACUGGGAUGGGCUGGGAUGGGCUGGGAUGGACUGGGAUGGAUUAGGAUGGACUAGGAUGGAUUGGGAUGGGCUGGGAUGGAUUAGGGUGGAUUAGGAUGGAUUAGGGUGGACUGGGAUGGAUUGGGAUGGACUGGGAUGGAUUAGGAUGGACUAGGAUGGAUUGCGAUGGGCUGGGAUGGAUUGGGAUGGACUAGGAUGGAUUAGGGUGGACUAGGAUGGACUAGGUUAGGAUGGAUUAGGGUGGACUGGGAUGGAUUGGGAUGGACUGGGAUGGACUGGGAUGGAUUAGGAGACCAGGGCACUUCCCAAGGUGUGUUGGGCUCAGUAAAUGCUGCUGUAAAUCCCAUUUAUUGCAGCCAGCAAGAACAGGCCUCUGUUAGAGAAUCAGGGAAUAUUUUGGGUUGGGAAAGACCUCCAGGAUCCCCUGUUCCAAGCAUUCUCCCAGCACGUUAUGUUGGCUCCUGUACAAGUGAAAUUGUGCUCAGGAAUUCACAGCUGGGAGGCUCCACAGAGCCCUGGGAAGGGGAAAGCAAGGCCAGGCCAAAACAGUAAACUCAUUAACUGUACACCUCAUAUUCCAAUUAAACCCAGGUUUUUGGGAUUCCUGGGAGUGCAGCAGUGUCCUGGA
rnacentral:lncRNA from 12 species